CUCGUAGGUUGCUGAGUAAGUCGGGUGUUAAAUCCCCAGGCUCAACCUGGGACACCACUCGAUACUGCUCUGGCUAGAGUCCGGUAGGGGAGCGUGGAAUUCCUGGUGUAGCGGUGAAAUGCGCAGAUAUCAGGAGGAACACCAGCGGCGAAGGCGGCGCUCUGGGCCGGUACUGACACUGAGGAGCGAAAGCGUGGGUAGCAAACA
rnacentral:rRNA from 1 species